rnacentral:rRNA from 1 species
AGAGUUUGAUCCUGGCUCAGGACGAACGCUGGCGGCGUGCGUAAUACAUGCAAGUCGAGCGGUCGACGGCUCUUCGGAGGCGUCGGCAGCGGCGGACGGGUGAGGAACACGUGAGUAACCGGGCGUCCGGUGGGGGAUAUCGGGCCGAAAGGCGCGGCAAUCCCGCAUGCGCCCCGGGCGGCGCCAGCCGCCGGGGGGAAAGGCCUUCGGGUCGCCGGACGGGGGGCUCGCGGCCCAUUAGCUAGUUGGGGGGGUAACGGCCUCCCAAGGCGACGAUGGGUAGCCGGCCUGAGAGGGUGAUCGGCCACACUGGGACUGAGACACGGCCCAGACUCCUACGGGAGGCAGCAGUAGGGAAUCUUCCACAAUGGGCGCAAGCCUGAUGGAGCAACGCCGCGUGAGUGAAGACGGCCUUCGGGUUGUAAAGCUCUGUCUGUCGGGACGAGGACCGCGCCGNNCGGCGCGGGGGGACGGUACCGGCGGAGGAAGCCCCUGCAAACUACGUGCCAGCAGCCGCGGUAAGACGUAGGGGGCAAGCGUUGUCCGGAAUUACUGGGCGUAAAGGGCGUGUAGGCGGUUGCGCACGUAGCGGUUUUCAGCCGUCGGCUCACCCGACGGAGGGCGGCUAAACGGCGCAGCUCGAGGGCAGGAGAGGUGCAUGGAAUUCCUGGUGGAGCGGUGAAAUGCGUAGAGAUCAGGAAGAACACCGGUGGCGAAGGCGGUGCACUGGCCUGGCCCUGACGCUGAGGCGCGACAGCGUGGGGAGCGAACGGGAUUAGAUACCCCGGUAGUCCACGCCGUAAACGAUGGAUACGAGGUGUCGCGGGGGUCCACCUCGCGGUGCCGGAGCUAACGCACUCAGUAUCCCGCCUGGGGAGUACGGCCGCAAGGUUGAAACUCAAAGGAAUUGACGGGGGCCCGCACAAGC